UCAGAGAUGAUGAGGUAGAUAGGAUGGAAGUGGAAGUGCCGUGAGGCAUGGAGCGGACCAUUACUAAUCGGUCGAGGACUUAACCAAG
rnacentral:rRNA from 1 species